AUUUGAUUAAAUGAUUAACUGUCUUGGCUCGUUUCAAUAAUUGUGCAGCAACAUCAACUGUCUUCCUUAAAAAAAAAGAUCUCAAGAUUUCACUUGAAAACAAAAAAUUUUCAUCAUCAGAAAAUAGAUUGACUACCAUAAUAGAAAAUAAUACACAGUUCUAAAUUCUUAUUGAAGCCUUGAGGUCAAUAUGCUAGUAUCUGAAUAUAACACUUGGCUGGAGGAGAAGAUUGUUGCCCUUAAUGCAGAGUUAUCAGGUGCCCAUAUAAUCUUUUGUGAUGUUUAUCGAGCCAUAAUGGAGUUCGUCAACAAUCCUCAAAACUAUGGUACGAUUUAGUACUUUUAUUCUUCUAUUUCCAAGACCAUCGUACUUCGGCUUAGAACUAUAAAACUCUCAAACUGUCAAAUGAUUAUGUUUUAUCCUGCAUUUCUUUCUGUUUAGGAUGUACAUAAUAUGGGUACUAUGUAAAACGCAUAUAGGCUAAAAAAAAAAACUCAGGCUCAGUUCUGUCAUUUGCCGGUCGAUUCAUAUAUUCAGUUUCAACCAGUAAACUUGAAGACUAAAGUUCAAGACGUAUUCGGGUGAUUGAGUUUACUGAUCUACGCAAAAACUUGUAGGAGUUAAGGAUGUACAUAAUAGGGUCGGACCAGUGGAAAGAAAUUCAUAGUAAAUUCUUAAUUUUUACCCGGUUAAUGAUGUGUUGAAAACCACUUCACCAACUUGGGUUCCACCGUUCCAGAAGCAGUGAAGCACCAAACGACUUCGCUCUCCAAAUCGAACCAACCAUCCUCCAGCAGUCAAGAGCAGAAGAGUUGAAGAAGAGCUGCAGUCGGCAGAAGCUGAAGGGCGCAGGGCGGAGUCGACUAGCGAGGAGACGACAGGCGAGUGGCGACGACUACCGAACUGGAGUAGGGACUGACGAGCAGAGCUGCAGAGGCGUCGAGCAUAUUUUGGGGAAUUUUGGGAGUUUUUGAUCGAAUUGAAUUUUGGGAAUUUUUGGUUAAUUGGGUUGGAUAGUGGAUAUUAGAUAUGUAAAUUGGGU
rnacentral:lncRNA from 1 species